UACGUAGGGUGCGAGCGUUAAUCGGAAUUACUGGGCGUAAAGCGUGCGCAGGCGGCUUGCCAAGUCAGAUGUGAAAGCCCCGGGCUUAACCCGGGAACGGCGUUUGAAACUGGCAGGCUAGAGUUUGGCAGAGGGGGGUGGAAUUCCACGUGUAGCAGUGAAAUGCGUAAAGAUGUGGAGGAACACCGAUGGCGAAGGCAGCCCCCUGGGCCAAAACUGACGCUCAGGCACGAAAGCGUGGGGAGCAAACAGG
rnacentral:rRNA from 1 species